rnacentral:rRNA from 1 species
AUUGAACGCUGGCGGCAGGCCUAACACAUGCAAGUCGAGCGGAUGAGGGUAGCUUGCUAUCUGAUUCAGCGGCGGACGGGUGAGUAAUGCCUAGGAAUCUGCCUGGUAGUGGGGGACAACGUUUCGAAAGGAACGCUAAUACCGCAUACGUCCUACGGGAGAAAGUGGGGGAUCUUCGGACCUCACGCUAUCAGAUGAGCCUAGGUACGAUUAGCUAGUUGGUGAGGUAAAGGCUCACCAAGGCGACGAUCGUUAACUGGUCUGCGAGGAUGAUCAGUCACACUGGAACUGAGACACGGUCCAGACUCCUCCGGGAGGCAGCAGUGGGGAAUAUUGGACAAUGGGCGAAAGCCUGAUCCAGCCAUGCCGCGUGUGUGAAGAAGGUCUUCGGAUUGUAAAGCACUUUAAGUUGGGAGGAAGGGCAGUAAGUUAAUACCUUGCUGUUUUGACGUUACCGACAGAAUAAGCACCGGCUAACUUCGUGCCAGCCGCCGCCGUAA